rnacentral:rRNA from 1 species
UACGUAGGGUGCGAGCGUUAAUCGGAAUUACUGGGCGUAAAGCGUGCGCAGGCGGUUUUGUAAGUCAGAUGUGAAAUCCCCGGGCUUAACCUGGGAACUGCGUUUGAAACUACAAGGCUAGAGUGUAGCAGAGGGGGGUGGAAUUCCACGUGUAGCAGUGAAAUGCGUAGAUAUGCGGAGGAACACCGAUGGCGAAGGCAAUCCCCUGGGCCUGCACUGACGCUCAUGCACGAAAGCGUGGGGAGCAAACAGGA